rnacentral:rRNA from 1 species
AUUGAACGCUGGCGGCAUGCCUUACACAUGCAAGUCGAACGGCAGCACGGGAGCAAUCCUGGUGGCGAGUGGCGAACGGGUGAGUAAUAUAUCGGAACGUGCCCAGUCGUGGGGAUAACGUAGCGAAAGCUACGCUAAUACCGCAUACGAUCUAUGGAUGAAAGCGGGGGAUCGCAAGACCUCGCGCGAUUGGAGCGGCCGAUAUCAGAUUAGGUAGUUGGUGAGGUAAAGGCUCACCAAGCCGACGAUCUGUAGCUGGUCUGAGAGGACGACCAGCCACACUGGGACUGAGACACGGCCCAGACUCCUACGGAGGCAGCAGUGGGGAAUAUUGGACAAUGGGCGAAAGCCUGAUCCAGCAAUGCCGCGUGAGUGAUGAAGGCCUUAGGUUGUAAGCUCUUUACUGGGGAUGAUAAUGACAGUACCCAGAGAAUAAGCUCCGGCUAACUCCGUGCCAGCAGCCG